rnacentral:rRNA from 1 species
UAGGGAAUCUUCCGCAAUGGGCGAAAGCCUGACGGAGCAACGCCGCGUGAGUGAUGAAGGUCUUCGGAUCGUAAAACUCUGUUAUUAGGGAAGAACAAAUGUGUAAGUAACUAUGCACGUCUUGACGGUACCUAAUCAGAAAGCCACGGCUAACUACGUGCCAGCAGCCGCGGUAAUACGUAGGUGGCAAGCGUUAUCCGGAAUUAGUGGGCGUAAAGCGCGCGUAGGCGGUUUUUUAAGUCUGAUGUGAAAGCCCACGGCUCAACCGUGGAGGGUCAUUGGAAACUGGAAAACUUGAGUGCAGAAGAGGAAAGUGGAAUUCCAUGUGUAGCGGUGAAAUGCGCAGAGAUAUGGAGGAACACCAGUGGCGAAGGCGACUUUCUGGUCUGUAACUGACGCUGAUGUGCGAAAGCGUGGGGAUCAAACAGG